rnacentral:lncRNA from 1 species
CGUGUUUAACACCAACACCUCUCCGACGACGACGACCCGGACGCCCCGUCCCCGUGAAGCAGCCAGCGGCGGGGAGGUGGACAAGGCGCUGGACUACAUGUACCGCGCAAACAGGAUGGCGAGCCUCGCCGUGAAGGUGAAGCACAUCGACGUGGGCGUCUCCGUCCUCUCCCGCUUCAUGGAGCCCAAGAAGGAAGCUGGCCAGCCUCGCCGAGUUCUGCGCCGACUACGCCUACAUCUCCGAGGUCCGUCCUCCAAACUCUUUUCUUCUUGCUCCGAUCCUAGUCCUGGAUGAAAAUGAUGAAUGAAUCCAUGGAUGGAUGGAUCUGACGGUGGAUUUGUUGGCUUGCUGCAGGAGGGAUUCUAUCUGGCAUCCGAUUGAUCGAUGGACGCUGUGCUGAUCCAAGCCAUGCCCAUGCAUGAUCUCCUUAUCAUCAGUCUUUUAAUCUACCAUCCAUCCCAUCCAGGCCUGUGGUUUCGUCAGGAUUUAUGUGCUGCCUGCAAUGCUCUUGUAUUCGUAUUCAGUUUGGUCAGACUUUGGUUCCUGGACGGCCAGCAUGCCUAUCUAAUCUGUCUCAGCUUCAUCAGUUAGCUAGGGGAAACCAAUGUAGUAUUGUAAUGUUGAUCUUCAUCUUAUCUUAUCUUUGGGACUUCACUUGAUCGAAUCGAAUUGCAGGAGCUAUCUCAAAAUUCUUAAUUGGAUUCAUGUAUGGUACUAGUUCAAUAUCGUAUUUCUGG